UAGUGCUCAGAGCCAUUUGAAUCCAUUUGGAACGAUACAGAGAAGAUUAGCAUGGCCCCUGCGCAAGGAUGACGCGCAAAAUCGUGAAGCGUUCCACAUUUUU